UACAACUCGAAUUUACCAAGAAAUUUAAUGCAGAAGAAGUUUUCAUGAGAGUUGAAAAAAGGCUUAGACAAGGUGUUUCCCCUGAUAACUAAGCUAAUAACAGCACUUCUUAUUCAAUUAAAAACCAAAUUUCAGCUAGACAGGCUAAUUUUUAAUAUAAAAUUAUCUAGAUAGGACAUCCUGUUCCAUUUUUUUCCCCAUGAACUGGAGAGAGGAAUUAAUAUAGGAUUGAAAUCCUCCAAAUGGCCACCCUUCAAUUGGAUCAGCAAUGAAGGACCACUCGAUCGUGCACCCAUGUUGACCAUCCCAUCUCCAUCGUUGAUGGCGAUACUUUAAUGGUGGCCACAUAUGACUUGAAUCCAGCGUUAUUUUCAAGGAUCUCAUAGCUUAGACACCGUUCGCUUGGAUUGAUCAUUAUUAGCUUCUCUUUGGCCCAGAUGACCUUAUUCUCUUCGUCUUCAUGAUUCCCUUCCGAUGGUACUUUGCUAAAAUGGCAGCACCGAACCAGGCCAGGUUGUCCAAGCUCACCCUCAACUCGGUAGCAGGUAUCCACUCGUGGAAGCCACUUUUGUAGAUUACAGAAGUCCUCCAAGCAAGGCCAUACUUGGUCUGCUGUUGGGCCUCUUAGCUCAACCGUGGCCUUGCCUUCCCAUUUGCCUUGUGUUUCUUCUGUCAUGAUAGAGGGAGAGGAAUGUUAGGUUCUGUGAGGGUCGGUAGUGGUGACCUGACCAACUAUGAUGCUUAAGCCAUUUUGGUCAACGGACGACUUCAGAUUUUUUUUCUCCUUGAGUGUUUCUUUCAAGGGAAAAGGACAUUGGACUGACGUAGUAAUAGUGAUCCACAUCAUCAGAGUUAUCCUAGUUCAUUGACACCCAGUGGUCGAAGGUUUUAAUUAAAUUGUUUCGAAAUAAUACUUUCGACUACUCCGGCCACCGUAAUGCGGUGGCUAGUUCCUCCCUUCUCUAAUUAGUCAACCAAAUAUCAUCAAUCUAUAUAAAUAAUUACUUGGUUUCUCCAAAAAUUGGCAAAAUUAAAAUAAGAUUUUUUUUUUCUAGACUCCUUUAAAUAGCCGUAGAAAAUGUUUAAGAUCAAUAUAUAUAUAUAUAUAUAUAUCAGCAUAAUGAUGAAAAUUCCAAUAGAGCAAAAAUAACACAGUAAGUAAUUAGGCACUAAUUAAGCUUCCAAGAAAAAAAAUCCAUAAUUGACAAAUCCCAACCCAAAUUGUAUGAGAGAAAGAACACUGAUUAUUUCAUUCUAGUGCUUAAAGCGCUUCCCCCAAAUGACUUGGUUAAGGGUUGUAUCCUGCUUGACUGUUUCAUAUUUCCUCGCCAUGAAAGAUCAGUAGUACUCCAUCACACCCCCUAUUUUUACCAUCGUCAUUUAUAAUUUGAUCCUCAAAGUAUUAUUACUUUCAUCUAUCCCAUAAGUCCUCGAGCGAAUUUCAACAUUGACAAGAUACUAAAAGACAUGGGGAAAAUAUUGUUCCCCGUGUCACUAACUCCCCUUACAAUUCCUUGUAAACUCCUAUAAUAAUUUUUUUUUUUCAUUUUCAUUGUAGAACUUUUUUCUCUCAUCAAUCUCAUCCUCUUAUGGCCCAAUUGAAGGCCAAUUACUUCUAUUUUGUUAAGGAAUAAUAAAAUUAAAAAACAAGGGGCCAAUAUAAAAAAAAACAAGAAAGAAAUAGGUGAUGGUUUUGAAAUUCACUAAAAAAGCUUACUUUGACCAUAUUAGUUUGCAAUGUACAUAUUUUCCAUCCCUUUGAUUUUUUUCAAAAUUCACUUUUUGUCCAUAAACUUCAUUUCUCUUAUUCUUUUGUUUUUGGUUUGAGGUAAAAAAAAGAAAGUCAUCGAAUUUCGAUCAUAUAAAAAGAAAAUAUUGAUUAACAACUAUUAUAACUAUUAAAAUUAUCGAUCUUGAUGCUUACAAGUUCUGUUUUAUGAGGAGAAUUCCAAUAAGGUGAUAUUUUGCCUUCAAAUAGCCUAAAAAAACAAAUUUAAAAGUAGAAAGUUUUUGGUCAAUUUAUUGUUUAUGGACCUUUUUUGGUUAUUUGUAAGCAUAAAUAGGUUUGUUUGGGUCUCUAUGAUGUUUUUUUAAGGUAUUUUUUUGUCGAAAAAAUAUUGGAAGGAUAAUUUAGGUGUAAAACACUUGUUUCUUGAUUUUCCAAAGAUCUUUGAUAUGCGGAACCUAGGCAAUGCAAAUUAUGUGUUGUCUGCUAUUUUGUCAUCUAUCCUAUAAAAAACAAAAAAAUAAUUAUCCCAGACACAUGGGCUGCCCAGGUUAGCAGGCCUAAGUCUUUUUUCCUUCUUUAUUUUAUUUUAUUUUUUUUAACUUGAUCUUUCAUAAUUGAAUCUUUAUUGAUUUUUCUGGUCAUUUUUCUUCAAAUUAUUGAAAAUGAUUGAGUUUCACUGGUCUAAUUGGUUAAUUUUGUAAAUACUUAUUUUUCUUAUCAUAUAAUUAAUAAAGAAAUUAUUAAAAGUUUUUUAACCUAAUUAUAUUCAUGACCCGAGUCGGAUUAACUUUGAUUAGUUAAGAAUCAGGUUUCAUGAUUUUUACAUAAAUAAUUCUCUAUUUACUUAACUAAAUGCAUUUAUAAACUUUUAAAUUUAUGAUUGAGCCUUUUUUAUGUCUAAAAAUGCAUAUGGUUCUAUCAUAUUUUUUGUUUUAUUUUUUAUGUUGAAUGAAAAAUUUAUUCCACCCGCAGCUAAUCACGGGUUAAAUAGAAAUCACGAAGAAACAUGCCCAUUUCACAAUAUUUGUCGCCUAGACAAGGUUUCACCAAGUGUCCAAGAUCAUAUUUUGCCACUUCAAGAUUCUCCAAAUCAAAUUUACCAAGAGGAUUUCUAGAAGAACAAGAAAUUUAUUGCAAAAGAAGCUUUCAUGGAAAUUACAAAGAGGUUUAGACAAGGUGUUUGUCCACAUAAUUAACUUAAUAGUAUAUAAUUAAUGAUGAUUAAGAUUAAUAGCAGUACUUAUUCAAUUAAAAAUAAAAUUUUAAUUUAAGUACUAUAAAUUUAAAACUAUUAAAGAAUUAGAUGGUUGUUACCUUCAAAAUUCAUAAGAUAAAUCAAGAUAUGCACACACUGAUGUUAACACCCAGAUUAAUUAAAAAAAGAGUUCAGUUCAGACAUGCUAAUUUCUUAAAUUAAGUUACCCAGAUAGGACAGCCUGUUCCAUUUUUUGUCCCAUGAACUGGAGAGAGGAAUUGAUAUAAGAAUUGAAAUCCUCCAAUGGCCACCCUUCAACUGGAUCAGCAAUGAAGGACCACUCGAUCUUGCACCCAUGUUGACCAUCUCCAUCUCCAUCUCCAUCGUUGAUUGGCAAUGCUUUCAUGGUGGCCACAUAUGACUUGAAUCCAGCGUUAUUUUCAAGGAUCUCAUAGCUUAGACACCGUUCGCUUGGAUUGAUCAUUAUUAGCUUCUCUUUGACCCAGAUG
rnacentral:lncRNA from 1 species